rnacentral:rRNA from 1 species
CGUCCAGACUCCUACGGGAGGCAGCAGUGGGGAAUUUUGGACAAUGGGCGCAAGCCUGAUCCAGCUAUUCCGCGUGUGGGAUGACGGCCCUCGGGUUGUAAACCACUUUAGUAGAGAACGAAAAGGAGCUAUCGAAUAAAUAGCUCUGCUGACGGUACUCUAAGAAUAAGCACCGGCUAACUACGUGCCAGCAGCCGCGGUAAUACGGAGGAUGUGAGCGUUAUCCGGAUUUAUUGGGUUUAAAGGGUGCGUAGGCGGGCUUUUAAGUCAGCGGUAAAAAUUCGGGGCUCAACCCCGUCCGGCCGUUGAAACUGGGGGCCUUGAGUGGGCGAGAAGAAGGCGGAAUGCGUGGUGUAGCGGUGAAAUGCAUAGAUAUCACGCAGAACCCCGAUUGCGAAGGCAGCCUUCCGGCGCCCUACUGACGCUGAGGCACGAAAGUGCGGGGAUCGAACAGGAUUAGAUACCCUCGUAU